ensembl:snoRNA
GAAAAAUGAUGAUUAUUUCUUGUGUCUUAUGGUUGCAGUGAAGACCUCAGAUCCAACUCUGAUUUCACUCUAGUU